rnacentral:rRNA from 1 species
GAUGAACGUUGGCGGCGUGGAUUAGGCAUGCAAGUCGAGCGAGAACCCAGCAAUGGGGGACAGCGGCGUAAGGGACAGUAAUGUGUAGAUUAUCUGCCCUCGGGACCGGGAUAGCUGCGGGAAACUGCAGGUAAUACCGGAUAACAUCUCCGGAUCAAAGGUGUGAUUCCGCCCGAGGAUGAGUCUGCAUCCUAUUAGCUAGUUGGCAGGGUAAUGGCCUACCAAGGCUUUGAUGGGUAGCGGGUGUGAGAGCACGACCCGCGUCAUUGGGACUGAGACACUGCCCAGACACCUACGGGUGGCUGCAGUCGAGAAUCUUCGGCAAUGGGCGCAAGCCUGACCGAGCGACGCCGCGUGUGGGAUGAAGGCCUUCGGGUUGUAAACCACUGUUAGAGGGGAUGAAAUGCAGGUGGGUUCUCCCAUCUGUUUGACAUAGCCUCAGAGGAAGGACGGGCUAAGUUCGUGCCAGCCGCCGCUGUAAUAC